rnacentral:hammerhead_ribozyme from 1 species
ACCCAACCGAUGAGUCCCAAGUAGGACGAAACACACUUCCUGGAU